rnacentral:rRNA from 1 species
GUGGGGAAUAUUGCGCAAUGGGGGCAACCCUGACGCAGCAACGCCGCGUGCAGGAAGAAGGUCUUCGGAUUGUAAACUGUUGUCGCAAGGGAAGAAGACAGUGACGGUACCUUGUGAGAAAGUCACGGCUAACUACGUGCCAGCAGCCGCGGUAAUACGUAGGUGACAAGCGUUGUCCGGAUUUACUGGGUGUAAAGGGCGCGUAGGCGGACUGUCAAGUCAGUCGUGAAAUACCGAAGCUUAACUUCGGGGCUGCGAUUGAAACUGACAGCCUUGAGUAUCGGAGAGGAAAGCGGAAUUCCUAGUGUAGCGGUGAAAUGCGUAGAUAUUAGGAGGAACACCAGUGGCGAAGGCGGCUUUCUGGACGACAACUGACGCUGAGGCGCGAAAGUGUGGGGAGCAAACAGGA